CCUACGGGUGGCUGCAGUGGGGAAUCUUCCGCAAUGGGCGAAAGCCUGACGGCGCAACGCCGCGUGAUCGAAUGAAGGCCUUCGGGUUGUAAAGAUCUGUUGACAGGGACGAAUAAGCCAUGCGAAUAGUUUGGUGUAUGACGGUACCUGUUUAGAAAGCUCAGGCUAACUACGUGCCAGCAGCCUCGGUAAUACGUAGGGAGCAAGCGUUGUCCGGAUUUACUGGGCGGAAAGUGCGCGUAGGUGGGUGCUUAAGUCAGUGGUGAAAACUCUGGGCUCAACCUGGAGACUGCACUUGAAACUGGGUAUCUUAAGGGCAGGAGAGGAAAGUGGAAUUCCUAGUGUAGCGGUUAAAUGCGUAGAUAUUAGGAGGAACACCAGUGGCGAAGGCGACUUUCUGGACUGUACCUGACGCUGAGGCGCGAAAGCGUGGGUAGCGAACGGGAUUAGAUACCCCAGUAGUC
rnacentral:rRNA from 1 species